CGGAUCAGCAUGCCGCGGUGAAUACGUUCCCGGGCCUUGUACACACCGCCCGUCACACCAUGGGAGCCGGUAAUACCCGAAGUCAGUAGUCCAACCACGUGAGGACGCUGCCGAAGGUAGGAUUGGCGACUGGGGUGAAGUCGUAACAAGGUAGC
rnacentral:rRNA from 1 species